GGCAGUGCUCUCUUCAGAAAGGUGCCAGUCACUUAGAUUGCAUGUCACUGUUUCCUUUCUGAGUGGAGUAAGGCUUA
ensembl:miRNA